GGUGAAAUAGCUCAGUUGGUAGAGCAUCGGACUGAAAAUCCGUGUGUCGGCGGUUCGAGCCCGCCUUUUACCA
rnacentral:tRNA from 1 species